CCAAACUUGGUCAUUUAGAGGAAGUAAAAGUCGUAACAAGGUCUCCGUUGGUGAACCAGCGGAGGGAUCAUUAUCGAGUCCCCGACUCCCAAACCCCCUCGCGGACCAUACCAUCAGCGUUGCCUCGGCGGGAGGCCCCGGCGGCCCCCGGGCCCCGGACACCACGGCGCCCGCCCGAGGACCCCCAUAACUCCUGCAUUCUCCAGCGGCCUCCUCUGAGUCGGAAAGGAAGAACGAGUCAAAACUUUCAACAACGGAUCUCUUGGUUCUGGCAUCGAUGAAGAACGCAGC
rnacentral:misc_RNA from 1 species